rnacentral:rRNA from 1 species
GACGAACGCUGGCGGCGUGCCUAAUACAUGCAAGUUGAGCGAUGAAGAUUGGUGCUUGCACCAAUUUGAAGAGCAGCGAACGGGUGAGUAACGCGUGGGGAAUCUGCCUUUGAUCGGGGGACAACAUUUGGAAACGAAUGCUAAUACCGCAUAACAACUUUAAACAUAAGUUUUAAGUUUGAAAGAUGCAAUUGCAUCACUCAAAGAUGAUCCCGCGUUGUAUUAGCUAGUUGGUGAGGUAAAGGCUCACCAAGGCGAUGCUACAUAGCCGACCUGAGAGGGUGAUCGGCCACAUUGGGAAUGAGACACGGCCCAAACUCCUACGGGAGGCAGCAGUAGGGAAUCUUCGGCAAUGGACGAGAGUCUGACCGAGCAACGCCGCGUGAGUGAAGAAGGUUUUCGGAUCGUAAAAAUCUGUUGGUAGAGAAGAACGUUGGUGAGAGUGGAAAGCUCAUCAAGUGACGGUAACUAACCAGAAAGGGACGGCUAACUACGUG